AUUGAACGCUGGCGGAAUGCUUUACACAUGCAAGUCGAACGGCAGCACGGACUUCGGUCUGGUGGCGAGUGGCGAACGGGUGAGUAAUAUAUCGGAACGUGCCCAGUCGUGGGGGAUAACGUAGCGAAAGCUACGCUAAUACCGCAUACGAUCUACGGAUGAAAGCGGGGGAUCGCAAGACCUCGCGCGAUUGGAGCGGCCGAUAUCAGAUUAGGUAGUUGGUGAGGUAAAGGCUCACCAAGCCGACGAUCUGUAGCUGGUCUGAGAGGACGACCAGCCACACUGGGACUGAGACACGGCCCAGACUCCUACGGGAGGCAGCAGUGGGGAAUUUUGGACAAUGGACGCAAGUCUGAUCCAGCCAUUCCGCGUGCAGGACGAAGGCCUUCGGGUUGUAAACUGCUUUUGUACAGAACGAAAAGGUCUCUAUUAAUACUAGGGGCUCAUGACGGUACUGUAAGAAUAAGCACCGGCUAACUACGCGCCAGCAGCAGCCGCGG
rnacentral:rRNA from 1 species